rnacentral:rRNA from 1 species
CCUACGGGUGGCAGCAGUGGGGAAUAUUGCACAAUGGGGGAAACCCUGAUGCAGCGACGCCGCGUGAGUGAAGAAGGCUUUCGGAAUGUAAAGCUCUAUCAGCAGGGAAGAAAAUGACGGUACCUGACUAAGAAGCAACGGCUAACUACGUGCCAGCAGCCGCGGCAAUACGUAGGGGGCAAGCGUUAUCCGGAUUUACUGGGUGUAAAGGGAGCGUAGCGGGCGCGGCACGUCUGAAGUGAAAGGCCGGGGCUUAACCCCUGAACUGCUUGGGAAACUGCCAUGCUAGAGUGCUGGAGAGGUAAGUGGAAUUCCUAGUGUAGCGGUGAAAUGCUUAGAUAUUAGGCGGAACACCAGUUGCGAAGGCAGCUUACUGGACUGUAUCUGACGUUGAGGCUCGAAAGCGUGUGGAGCAAACAGGAUUAGAUACCCUGGUAGUC